rnacentral:siRNA from 1 species
GAGCCUAUAGCUCAGUGGUAGAGC